rnacentral:rRNA from 1 species
CCUACGGGAGGCAGCAGUGGGGAAUAUUGCACAAUGGGCGAAAGCCUGAUGCAGCAACGCCGCGUGAGGGAUGAAGGCCUUCGGGUUGUAAACCUCUUUUAGUAGGGAAGAAGCGAAAGUGACGGUACCUACAGAAAAAGCACCGGCUAACUACGUGCCAGCAGCCGCGGUAAUACGUAGGGUGCAAGCGUUGUCCGGAAUUAUUGGGCGUAAAGAGCUCGUAGGCGGUUUGUCGCGUCUGCUGUGAAAAUCCGAAGCUCAACUUCGGACCUGCAGUGGGUACGGGCAAACUAGAGUGCGGUAGGGGAGAAGGGAAUUCCUGGUGUAGCGGUGGAAUGCGCAGAUAUCAGGAGGAACACCGAUGGCGAAGGCACUUCUCUGGGCCGUAACUGACGCUGAGGAGCGAAAGCGUGGGGAGCGAACAGGAUUAGAUACCCUGGUAGUCCACGCCGUAAACGGUGGGUGCUAGUUGUGGGUUCCAUUCCACGGAAUCCGUGACGAAGUUAACACAUUAAGCACCCCGCCUGGGGAGUACGGUCGCAAGACUAAAACUCAAAGGAAUUGACGG